rnacentral:tRNA from 1 species
AAAAUAGAUAACUAAAUAAAAGUAUGUUAAUUACACUAACAGAAUGAUUGAAAAAUCUUUAUUUU